GAUGAACGCUGGCGGCGUGCCUAAUACAUGCAAGUCGAGCGAAUUUACGAGAAGCUUGCUUCUCUGAUGUUAGCGGCGGACGGUUGAGUACCACUUGGAUAACCUACCUAUAACACUGCGUUAACUUCGGGAAACCGUUGCUAAUACCUGCUAAUAUUUUGAACCUCAUGUUUCAAAAUUGAAAGACGGUCUUGCUGUCACUUAUAUCUGUAUUCGCGCUGCAUUAGCUAGUUGGUAAGGUAACGGCUUACCAAGGCAACGAUGCCUAGCGUACCUGGGAGGGUGAUCGGCCACACGGGAACGGAGACACGGUCAAGACUCCUACGGGAGGCAGCAGUAGGGAAUCUUCGGCAAGGGGCGAAAGCCUGACGGAGAAACGCCGCGUGAGGGAGGAAGGUCUUCGGAUCGUAAAACUCUGUUAUAAGGGAAGAGAAUAUGUGUAAGUAACUGUGCACAUCUUGACGGUACCUAAUCAGAAAGCCACGGCUAACUACGUG
rnacentral:rRNA from 1 species